rnacentral:rRNA from 1 species
UACGGGGGAUGCAAGCGUUAUCCGGAUUUAUUGGGUUUAAAGGGAGCGUAGACGGUAAUGUAAGUCUGGAGUGAAAGGCGGGGGCCCAACCCCCGGACUGCUCUGGAAACUAUGUUACUAGAGUGCAGGAGAGGUAAGCGGAAUUCCUAGUGUAGCGGUGAAAUGCGUAGAUAUUAGGAGGAACACCAGUGGCGAAGGCGGCUUACUGGACUGUAACUGACGUUGAGGCUCGAAAGCGUGGGGAGCAAACAGG